CAGAGAAUAGUUUAAAUUAAAAUAUUAGCUUUGGGGGCUAUAGUUGGCAGGUUUUGUUUUUUCUGA
rnacentral:tRNA from 1 species